CCUACGGGUGGCUGCAGUGGGGAAUAUUGGACAAUGGGGGCAACCCUGAUCCAGCCAUGCCGCGUGUGUGAAGAAGGCCCUCGGGUUGUAAAGCACUUUCAGUGAGGAAGAACGCCUGGUGGUUAAUACCCAUCAGGAAAGACAUCACUCACAGAAGAAGCACCGGCUAACUCCGUGCCAGCAGCCGCGGUAAUACGGAGGGUGCGAGCGUUAAUCGGAAUUACUGGGCGUAAAGCGCGCGUAUGUGGCUUGAUAAGCCGGUUGUGAAAGCCCCGGGCUCAACCUGGGAACGGCAUCCAGAACUGUCAAGCUAGAGUGCAGGAGAGGAAGGUAGAAUUCCCGGUGUAGCGGUGAAAUGCGUAGAGAUCGGGAGGAAUACCAGUGGCGAAGGCGGCCUUCUGGACUGACACUGACACUGAGGUGCGAAAGCGUGGGUAGCAAACAGGAUUAGAUACCCUGGUAGUC
rnacentral:rRNA from 1 species